ACCUGGCUCACACCGGUCUAAACUCAGAUCAUGUAAAAUUAUAAAGGUCGAACAGACCUAAUAUGUAAGCUCCUACACCAACAAUUAAUUUUAAUCCAACAUCGAGGUCGCAAUCUGUUUUUUCGAUAAGAACUCUAAAAACCAUUACGCUGUUAUCCCUAAGGUAAUUUUAUCUUAUAAUCUAAACUUAAGGAUCAUAUACUUACAAAUAAAUAUCUUAAUAAAGAAAAGUUAAACUAAUUUUCCUAUCACCCCAACAAAAAAUACACAAAAAUCAAAUAAAAAUCUAAAGCCUCUAAAUAUUCAACUCAACCGUAUGUAAAACUCUAUAGGGUCUUCUCGUCUUCUAUAAACAUUUAAGCUUUUUCACUUAAAAAUAAAAUUCAAAUUUAACUUAUUAAGAGACAGUUAUUUUUUCAUCAAACCUUUCAUACAAGCUUUCAAUUAAAAAACUAGUGAUUAUGCUACCUUUGCACGGUCAAAAUACCGCGGCCAUUUAAUUCCUCAUAGAGCAGGCCAGACCUUAAAUUAUUAUCAACAAGCCAUGUUUU
rnacentral:rRNA from 1 species